rnacentral:tmRNA from 1 species
GCUUAGGUUGCGAGUCGAGGGGAUCGGCCUCGUUAAAACGUCAAAGCCUAUAAUUGGCAAACAAAACAAUCUUUCUUUAGCUGCUUAAUUGCACUAAAGGUUCCUCCCUCCAUCGUCCAUGUGGUAGGGUAAGGGACUCAAACUAAGUGGACUACGCCGGAGUUCGCCGUCUGAGGGCGAAGGAAGAGAACAACCAGACUAGCAACUUGGAAGCCUGUCGAUAGGCCGAAGAGUUCGCGAAAUGCUAAUAUAUCGACUACACUCGUAGAAGCUUAAGU